rnacentral:sRNA from 1 species
GGGGUUUUCAGUCACAAUGUUCUUACAAUGCCUGUUUAAUGGGCCUUGUAAAAUAAAAAAACAUCCCCUUGUUGUUAUGUCUGCGCAGGAAAUGUAUUUUCGCUCGUCAUGAAGUCUUUUUGGCGCUAAUUUCUCACGGCCAAUGCAGGCAACCAAUCAUAAAUAUCACAGCGAAAUCAGCGCUGAGAACGUUUACACAGGACACAUUACAUACAGUACGGAACAAGACGCUUCACAGGGGUUCAUACACACAAGAUUCGUUUGCUUCUUGCCUGCCGAUUGGAUUUGGCACUCGGACGGACUCUUCUGGUUCUUCCCGAAAAAUUGUUGCUGACCGCCUACAAGUAUAUAUGUGGAGGGGCCAGAGUUUUUUUUAUUUGGUGGCAUUCCUUGGCGAGACCUUAAUCCAAAACACACAUUGCAUUA